UGUUGUUGCUCUCCUUAAUUUAGGUGUACCUAUGGUGUGGACUUGUAUUUAGGAAAGACCUAUUAUGGUUAUGGUUAUCUAUUAGAUAACUUCGUUGUACCUGAUGUGGAUGAUCGUAGCUAUGUUCAUUAUAUGGAUUGUUGUUUUCCUUCUAAUUCAUCUGUUCUUAAUGUUAAUGAUGAUGUGAAUGUGAAUAUAUGGCAUGUUAGAU
rnacentral:lncRNA from 1 species